UACAGGGGGUGCAAACGUUGUCCGGAUUUACUGGGCGUAAAGAGCGCGCAGGCGGUCAGAUAAGUCGAAUGUGAAAGCCCCCGGCUCAACUGGGGAGGGUCAUUCGAUACUGUUCGACUCGAAGGCAGGAGAGGGAAGUGGAAUUCCCGGUGUAGUGGUGAAAUGCGUAGAUAUCGGGAGGAACACCAGUGGCGAAGGCGACUUCCUGGCCUGUUCUUGACGCUGAGGCGCGAAAGCUAGGGGAGCAAACGGG
rnacentral:rRNA from 1 species